CAAAAAUCUUUUUUAAAAAAUGGGCUUAUAAUGAGUAUAGCCGAACAAACCAGGUUCGAGUUGUAUGUGCUGUUAACCUGGAAACAUACACGGUGCAAGACAAUUAAGGGGCUGUAACCAGACAAAGAGUUUAUUGCACGCGGCUAUAAAAUGGAGACUAGGGUUUUUUGGGUAGGGCACGGAGGGUGCGACGAACAAGGAGAAGGGAGGGAGAGUUGCGGUAAUUCCCGCCGUUAUUGCUGGAGGUUAUGUCGGUUGUCGCGCUGCCAAGUUAAACUAGAAACAAAAAUCAAAUCAAAUAAAAACUGAUGGCCUGUCCUUGGAUCAAGCAAGGAUUUUUCGGUAGUGUUUUUUGAUUGGUUCCUUACCCAGCCAAAUCCUACAUCAUUCUGUUACAAUCUUUGAAGAGGAUAAGAGAAACUCACUUUUACUAGAAAAGAAAAGAAACGUCAAUAACUUACUUACCAGAAGACACAUACAUUGUUGAGAGGCUUUUAAAGAGCUUUCUGAAUUGCCAUUUUUGGAAAGAAACUAUUAUAUAUUGGGAAGGACCCUUGCUUAUUGUUGAGACUUCUUGAUUCAUGAUUUGUAUGUAAAUAUUUUGCUUUUAAUAAUUUAUCUACGUUGACAAUAUAUUUAGUUCCAUUACUUGAUUUGUCUAGGCCAAAAGUCCUUGUGCAUCCUGGAAAACAGUAAUCUCAGUAGAACAAAACUUCAAUGAAAAAAAAAUUAAGAAGGGAAUGAGAGAAUCAUGACAUAAUCCCUCUACAUUUUCAUCUCCGUGUGUGCCUUCCACUCAUGUACAAGUAACAAAGUUCAAAUUGAGGAAGUAGAUCUCUUCCUCCCAUCAUCUAUUAUAAACCAUGACCAUUAUCUAAUUUUCUUAAUUUCUUUAGGUUUUCUUUUUGUGGGUCGUGUUGCAUUCUUUUGUAUGGAAUAGCACUUGCUUUUUUUUUAAAAUAUCAAUCAAUUUGGAUUUCAUCUUUGUAUCUAAUGAGUUGGGGUCUUCUAUUGUUUUGUGUUUUUUUGUUUUUUUUUGUCAACUACCAUAUUAAAUGGGUCUGAAUCAAACUGUAGUCAGUGCAUUUUUCUUCAUAUCAGGACUUCAAAUGAUUCCUGCAUACAUACCGUGUGAACUUUAACUACCACCUAUCUCACGAUCCAAACCCGCCCCUAGAGGCUUAGGUCAUGACCGGCCAGUAAUUCCAGAUUACCUUUGGCCUCAAUAACAAAAUCAUAUCAUUAUAUAUAAUCGGGGAAUAGCGGAAGCAAUAACAAAAUAUAAUUAAGUUCAAUGAGCAGUGCUUAUAUGAUAACUUCAUAAUAGAUCAAGUCAUUCAUUAUACCAUAAUAUAAAUAAUAAUAAAAAAUCUUUUUGAGCCAUGCUCGAUUUUCAUUAAUAUUAACGAGGCAACUCGAGCUCGAACCUAGUUAGUUAUUGAGCAGAGCGUGAGCUCAAUAAAUGAGUUUGGUAAGCAAAUGAGUUGAGUUCGAGCUCAGCAAAACUCGACUAGGCUUGUUUGCAGUCCUACCUAGGAGUGUGGAUUAAACUACACUUUAAAAGUGUGAGGUGGUCAUUGGAGUACCACUGGAAAUCUCCUAGAGAGAGAAGCUUUCACCGUUCUUUGGAACUGGUAAUAAAAAGUACAUUUAGGGCCUGUUUGAUUUGGAGUAAUAGAUUGACUGUGCAACUCAAUUAGUAGGAUAAAUAUGUGUAGGAUUAUUAAUACUUAUCUCCAUAUAGUAUUGAAUAUUCCUUGAUUUUGUGGGAUUAGAAGUACUACGUAUUACUUGGCCGGCCAUCAUUUAUGUCAUCCAAACGUAAAAAUAUGCAUAUCAUUGGAUUAACAAUCCAAUUUUAUGCUCUAAUACUGGAAUCAAAUAGGCUCUUAGAUUAAAUGCAUUUAAAAAGUAAAAAUAAUUUACUAAAAUACA